rnacentral:lncRNA from 1 species
AGCUUUAGGGUUUAGGGUUGUUGUAUGGAAUUCCAAAGAAUAUCUUCUGCAAACUACUUUUGAUGCGCUCAGUUGGGGAUUGGCCUUUUUGAUGCUUGAUUCGGAAAGGGUACUCUGAGCUCAAACUUUUUCCUUCGAAUUUUGUUUCUAUUCCAAUUUAGGAAUUUUUUGGAAUUCUGCAUCUUUGACUAAUUAAUUUGUGUUUUUUUUUUACUGCAGUGAAGAUUGAAGCAAAGGUUUUGGUUUUCUCACGGCCUUGUUGGUGUACUCGGUUUUUGGGUGGCUUGAGAGAGGAUUAAUAAACGUGAAAGCUCCACUGUCAAUUUCAAGCUUGUGAUCAAUUAUCCAGAAAAUCUUAGCAACUGCAACCCUCGCCUUCGUAAACGCAGCCAUGGUAGGUGCAGAUUGCCUUAGAUGUUCCUUAAUCUUUUGAUCAAUUGAACUGUUCCGGAAGCAAAAGCAUUUCCAAUUCUCGUCCUAUUUGAGUUUUGUGCUUCGGUUGAUCCUCGGGAUACUUUGAUUUGAUCACAUUCAUAAAGCUCGGGUUCUUACCUAAUUGUUUGUUGUUUCUGUUGUGAAAUUUUGCAGGUCCAUGGAAUUGAAAUGCAGGCUGCUUAUU